GACGAACGCUGGCGGCGUGCUUAACACAUGCAAGUCGAACGGAAAGGCCCUGCUUUUGUGGGGUGCUCGGGUGGCGAACGGGUGAGUAACACGUGAGUAACCUGCCCUUGUCUUUGGGGUAACUUCAGGAAACUGGGGCUACUACCGGAUAGGAGCUCCUGCUGCAUGGUGGGGGUUGGAAAGUUUCGGCGGUUGGGGAUGGACUCGCGGCUUACCAGCUUGUUGGUGGGGUAGUUGCUGACCCAGGCUUUGACGGAUAGCCGGCCUGAGAGGGUGACCGGCCACAAUGGGACUGAGAGACGGCCCAGACGGCUACGGGAGGCAGCAGUGGGGAAUAUUGCACAAUGGGCGGAAGCCUGAGGCAGCAACGCCGGGUGCGGGAUGACGGCCUGCGGGUUGUAAACCGCUUUCGCCUGUGACGAAGCGUGAGUGACGGUAAUGGGUGAAGAAGCACCGGCUAACUACGUG
rnacentral:rRNA from 1 species